rnacentral:rRNA from 1 species
AUUGAACGCUGGCGGCAGGCCUAACACAUGCAAGUCGAGCGGAUGAGGAAAGCUUGCUUUUCGAUUCAGCGGCGGACGGGUGAGUAAUGCCUAGGAAUCUGCCUGUUAGUGGGGGAUAACUCGGGGAAACUCGGGCUAAUACCGCAUACGUCCUACGGGAGAAAGUGGGGGACCUUCGGACCUCACGCUAACAGAUGAGCCUGGGUCGGAGUAGCUAGUAGGUGAGGUAAUGGCGCACCUAGGCGACGAUCCGUAACUGGUCUGAGAGGAUGAUCAGUCACACUGGAACUGAGACACGGUCCAGACUCCUACGGGAGGCAGCAGUGGGGAAUAUUGGACAAUGGGCGAAAGCCUGAUCCAGCCAUGCCGCGUGUGUGAAGAAGGUCUUCGGAUUGUAAAGCACCUUAAGUUGGGAGGAAGGGUAUUCACCUAAUACGUGGGUACUUUGACGUUACCAACAGAAUAAGCACCGGCUAACUCUGUGCCAGCCGCCGCGGUAACAC